rnacentral:lncRNA from 1 species
AUGAAAAUAUCUGAACUGGAACCCUUUCCUUUUUUCAUUGCAGAGGCUAUUCUACAAAAAGUUAAAAGAUUAUCUGAAUGGAUGUGGCAGAGGUGCAUUGUUGUGGAGGUUCUUGGCCAUGAUGCUGAGACAGAGAAGGAACAAACAGAAGUGGACCAUGGACAAGGUCAGACAGCCCAAGUGUAUCCAGAACUACAACUCACAAGAGCAGUGGACCUGCAUGACCAGUAUGUCAGCCGCUACUGAGUUAACAUCUGGUCCAAGAAGUGGUGGCAGCCAUGCUUUAGCUGGGCCCUGAACAGUGCCACAGUGAACAGCUGAUUUUGAGUAUAAUAAACUGGAAAUAAAGAAACCAGUUCACACUGUUUCUUGUUUUGCAUUUUAUGCAGGGAGAACCUGAGUCUCCACAUUUCUGCUAUUAUUUAUUAGGACUAUAUUAUUUUGAUAUUACUAAAUUAUUAUUAUUAUUAUUAUUAUUAUUAUUAUUAUUAUUAUUAUUAUUAUUAUUAGUAGUAGUAGUAGUAGUAGUAGUAGUAGUAAUAGUAGUAUUAGUAUUAAUAAUAAUUGUAAAUAAAACUCAGAGUGACCGAUUAUAAUCAGAAAUAAUCAUAAAAAUUAUCUUUUCAAUGGUCCACACCUUUAAUUAACCAUAAAUUAUUUUAAAACUAAAUUCCAGCUAAUGUAUUCUUCUCCAUAUAACUGUUUUGAAGCCAAAUUUAAUUGUGAGUAGUAGUGAACAGAGCACUUGUUUGUGAGAUGCAUAGAAGUAGUUACGCUCGUUAAAAACUCUGUUUCACACUACAUUUCCAGUCGGUCCUGGAAAGCUUCUUCCCUUUUUUCCUCUGUAGAUAAUGAAGUUUGCAUUAUGCUUAUUUGGCAGCAGCCCAGAUAUUCAAAUAUUCAUGCAGAGAUGAUUUAGAUUGUUGAACUGUGAGUACAAGCUGUAAUGCUCCAGAUCAUUUUGUUGAGGCAACAUUUUUUAAGGCAACAAGGUGUCUUGCCAUUGGCUGAAAUCCUGAAACUGAUUUGUCUAAAAAGGAGGAACAAUAUGAUCAUGGUAAAAUUUAAAUAAGGGAGGUAUUAAAGAUGUCUUCCAUCAGCUUCCUUUGGCAACACUGCACCGUCUUCAUUUUAGAGAAAUAAGUAAAUCACAUUAACAUUGCGGUUAAAUUAUGCAGAUCUUUCCUCUGAUUUCCACCAGGCCCUCUUUUUUUUUUACUCUUUUCCACCAUUUCUUUCUCAUUGACAUGUAUUGAUCUCCUGGUCACACCUUAAAGUACUUUAUCUACAGAUAUUUAUGUUUGUAGCUGCGGGCCUCCAGUUCCCAUUACGGGUCUGAGAAAUGGGCUCGAGCAGUGUUUCAACACCUUGCUGCUGACGAAUAUUUUAAAAUUCAAAAGACCUGCUCUUAGUCAGCACUUCCACCCCCAGAUGUAGCCAUGUAAAAUGACCCGGGACAGCUAGUGUGCUGAGGCAUAGUGUAAAGGCUUAACUACAUGGAAGGAAAAGGUAAUUAGAAAGCAAAAUGUCUAUACAUUUAAAACUAACUUUUUGGGAAUGCAGAUCAGGUGUUAAAGUUUUAAAAUGUAAAUCUUUUAUAAAAUAUUUAAAAAAAAGAAAAAAGAUUUCCAAUGACAACAGUCUGACAAGACGUAUAAAUUCAGUCAUUGAUUAGUAAAAAAAAAAUCCAAGAUCCUGCAUCAGACAAUGAAUUAUUAUCAUAAAUAAACAAAAUCUCAAAACUAUAGAUAUGUGGAGCUGCUGUUAACCUGUAAAUCAUGAUGCUACAAAAACGUUUUCUGUUUUCCACUUUUCUCCCUGGCUGUCCCUCGGUAACUCUGAAAAAUGCCUCCUUUUGAUUUUUUCCUCCCUCCAAAUCUCUCUUCUUCUGUUAGCACCUCCCUGUAUGCAGCUUAUGCCCACUAGCUUUUAAAUCCUUGUUGGUACAUCAGCUUUCUAACCUUCCUAACCUCACUGACUGAGCCUCAGAGACUGUGUGAUGGUGGAUAAUCGGCAGCAGGACUCCCUCCCUCCUUCUUUGUCUCAGCCUCUCUCUCCCCCUCGGCUUUGUUCUUGUCUCUUGUCCCUUACUGUGUGUGUGUGUGUGUUUCACAGCAACACACACACACACACACACACACACACACACACACACACACACACACACACACACACACAGUGAUUAACAGGUGAACCACUUCAGCAAAGCAGCUACACUUGACAUUUCAACCUACUCCAACACCCAAAGAAAAUUUGUCUAAACUCCACAUAGGGAUUAUUAGUCAUACUCCACCAACUGAAGCAACUAUUUUCUUUUGAUCGUGUUGUUUUAUAAAAUACACGCAGGUCAUAUUGCCAGAUUUAGCUGUGGCAGCUGACAACCAACGUGUAUUCUCCUGCUGCAGCCCUGAUGGUUGACAAUGACCGUGCUUUAAACGCCGAGAAGAAAACUCCCAAUUCAAACUUUCCUCUGAACUUCCCUCUGCAGAAUGCCUGGUGGACUGGAGAAGUGUCUCCAAAUGAAAAGACAGAAUUUGAGAACAAAGCAGACAGUGAUGUGUAAAAGCAUGCUUCUAAGUGCCUCUGAUGCAGUUUGUCUCCUUGGAGUCGCUCUCAGAGCAGACUAACAAAGACAAACAACUCUGUGCUUGUAAUGAAACGAUGCACCCACACCUUACCUGUCAGCCUCAUCAAGGGUCAGCUCACACCUGACACAAAUUCAUUUCUAUGAUAAACAAGAAGUUUACAUCACCUGUGAGCAGCGGGGAGGGGAUGUGGGCUGUUGCCUCAUGAUGAUGGAUCAAAACUAAACGUGGCGUUAUUGUAUUCUUUUCAUCAUUUAUUUUCCGAU